rnacentral:rRNA from 1 species
GUGGGGAAUAUUGGACAAUGGGCGAAAGUCUGAUCCAGCAAUGCCGCGUGAGUGAAGAAGGCCUUCGGGUUGUAAAGCUCUUUUACCCGGGAAGAUAAUGACUGUACCGGGAGAAUAAGCCCCGGCUAACUCCGUGCCAGCAGCCGCGGUAAUACGGAGGGGGCUAGCGUUGUUCGGAAUUACUGGGCGUAAAGCGCACGUAGGCGGUCUUUUAAGUCAGAGGUGAAAGCCCGGGGCUCAACUCCGGAAUUGCCUUUGAAACUGGAAGACUUGAACACGGUAGAGGUGAGUGGAAUUCCGAGUGUAGAGGUGAAAUUCGUAGAUAUUCGGAGGAACACCAGUGGCGAAGGCGGCUCACUGGACCGUUGUUGACGCUGAGGUGCGAAAGCGUGGGGAGCAAACAGGAUUAGAAACCCGAGUAGUCC